AGAUCAAGAAGUUGUGUCCAGCUGUGUGAGAAUGAGCCUCCUCUCUAGCGUCAUCAUGAAGAUGCAAAUCUACAAUAUAUCCUCCUACCAGGAGGGACUGACGAUUACUCGAAGACAUCGCCUUCCUGAGAUGUUAGGAGGCGAGACUCUCCGUGAUGCAAUGUGAAGAAGGAUUUUGGAUUCAGUCCUUUCUGUUCCAGAGCCUCUCUGAGACGAACCGGCGGCUCCAAGUAGUGCUGCAUGAAGGAGGGACCAGAGAAAGCAAGUGCAAAGGUUCCCCAAUGAAUGGCCAAAGACUGUUUAGCCUGAAGGUCCUGGUGAAUCUGAACAGCCUCCUCUGGGUCGACAUGCUGGCCCUUCAUCACGUCCCUACAAAAACAAAGAUAUUUACAUGUUAUACAAUAUGACAAGAUUAAAGGAUUUUGCACAGUAA